rnacentral:rRNA from 1 species
CCUACGGGAGGCAGCAGUGGGGAAUAUUGGACAAUGGGGGAAACCCUGAUCCAGCGACGCCGCGUGAGUGAAGAAGUAUUUCGGUACGUAAAGCUCUAUCAGCAGGAAAGAAAAUGACGGUACCUGACUAAGAAGCCCCGGCUAACGACGUGCCAGCAGCCGCGGUAAUACGGAGGGGGCAAGCGUUAUCCCGAUUUACUGGGUGUACAGGGAGCGUAGACGGUGCGCCAAGUCUGGAGUGAACUGCCGCAGCUUAACUGCGGCACUGCUUUGGAAAAUGGCGAACUAGAUUGCGGGAGGGCGCAGCUGCUUUCCUAGUGUAGCGGUGAAAUGCGUCGAUAUUAGGAGGAACCCCGGUGGCGACGGCGUCUUACUGGACCGUACCUGACGUUGCGGCUCGCACGCGUGGGGAGCAAACAGGAUUAGAUACCCGGGUAGUC